rnacentral:rRNA from 1 species
UACGAAGGGUGCAAGCGUUACUCGGAAUUACUGGGCGUAAAGCGUGCGUAGGUGGUGAGUUAAGUCUGUCGUGAAAGCCCCGGGCUCAACCUGGGAAUGGCGAUGGAUACUGGCUCGCUAGAGUGCGGUAGAGGAGAGUGGAAUUCCCGGUGUAGCAGUGAAAUGCGUAGAGAUCGGGAGGAACAUCAGUUGCGAAGGCGGCUCUCUGGACCAGCACUGACACUGAGGCGCGAAAGCUAGGGGAGCAAACGGG